rnacentral:tRNA from 1 species
GGGUCCAUAGCUCAGUGGUAGAGCAAUUGACCGCAGAUCAAUAGGUCAUGUGGUACUU